rnacentral:miRNA from 1 species
AACGCAUUGCAUACAUGACAAA